rnacentral:rRNA from 1 species
UUAUGGCUCAGGAUGAAUGCUGGCGGCAUGCCUAAUACAUGCAAGUCGAGCGGUAACAGGACUAGCUUGCUAGUUGCUGACGAGCGGCGGACGGCUGAGUAACGCAUGGGAACGCACCCAAACUGAGGGAUAACUAGUCGAAAGAUUAGCUAAUACCGCAUGUGAUCUUCGGAUUAAAGCCUCCGGGCGGUUUGGGAGCGGCCUGUGUACGAUUAGAUAGUUGGUGAGGUAAUGGCUCACCAAGUCGACGAUCGUUAGAUGGUUUGAGAGGAUGAUCAUCCAGACUGGAACUGAGACACGGUCCAGACUCCUACGGGAGGCAGCAGUAGGGAAUCUUUCACAAUGGGCGAAAGCCUGAUGGGAAGCAAUGCCGCGUGCAGGACGAAGGCCUUCGGGUUGUAAACUGCUUUUAUAAGCGAGGAAUAUGACGGUAACUUAUGAAUAAGGAUCGGCUAACUACGUGCCAGCAGCGGC